rnacentral:rRNA from 1 species
ACCAGACUCCUACGGGAGGCAGCAGUGAGGAAUAUUGGUCAAUGGGCGGGAGCCUGAACCAGCCAAGUCGCGUGAAGGAAGAAGGUACUUAGUAUUGUAAACUUCUUUUGUCGGGGAACAAAGGCGGAGACGCGUCUCCGGAUGAGUGUACCCGAAGAAAAAGCAUCGGCUAACUCCGUGCCAGCAGCCGCGGUAAUACGGAGGAUGCGAGCGUUAUCCGGAUUUAUUGGGUUUAAAGGGUGCGCAGGCGGGAGAUCAAGUCAGCGGUAAAAUGUCGGGGCUCAACCCCGGCCGGCCGUUGAAACUGGGGGCCUUGAGUGGGCGAGAAGAAGGCGGAAUGCGUGGUGUAGCGGUGAAAUGCAUAGAUAUCACGCAGAACCCCGAUUGCGAAGGCAUCUCACGAAUCCGCGAUUGACGCUGAUGCACGAAAGCGUGGGUAUCAAACAGGAUUAGAUACCCUAGUA